UACGGAGGGGGCUAGCGUUGUUCGGAAUUACUGGGCGUAAAGCGCGCGUAGGCGGCUUUGUAAGUUAGAGGUGAAAGCCCGGAGCUUAACUCCGGAACUGCCUUUAAGACUGCAUCGCUAGAAUUGUGGAGAGGUGAGUGGAAUUCCGAGUGUAGAGGUGAAAUUCGUAGAUAUUCGGAAGAACACCAGUGGCGAAGGCGGCUCACUGGCCCGAUACUGACGCUGAGGCACGAAAGCGUGGGGAGCAAACAGG
rnacentral:rRNA from 1 species